GUAGGGAAUCUUCGGCAAUGGACGAAAGUCUGACCGAGCAACGCCGCGUGAGUGAAGAAGGUUUUCGGAUCGUAAAACUCUGUUGGUAGAGAAGAACGUUGGUGAGAGUGGAAAGCUCAUCAAGUGACGGUAACUACCCAGAAAGGGACGGCUAACUACGUGCCAGCAGCCGCGGUAAUACGUAGGUCCCGAGCGUUGUCCGGAUUUAUUGGGCGUAAAGCGAGCGCAGGUGGUUUAUUAAGUCUGGUGUAAAAGGCAGUGGCUCAACCAUUGUAUGCAUUGGAAACUGGUAGACUUGAGUGCAGGAGAGGAGAGUGGAAUUCCAUGUGUAGCGGUGAAAUGCGUAGAUAUAUGGAGGAACACCGGUGGCGAAAGCGGCUCUCUGGCCUGUAACUGACACUGAGGCUCGAAAGCGUGGGGAGCAAACAGGAUUAGAUACCCCAGUAGUCC
rnacentral:rRNA from 1 species